rnacentral:rRNA from 1 species
AGAGUUUGAUCAUGGCUCAGAAUCAACGCNNGGCGGCGUGCUAACACAUGCAAGUCGAACGCGAAAGUGGAGCAAUCCAUGAGUAGAGUGGCAAACGGGUGAGUAACGCGUGGGUGACCUGCCUUCGAGCGGGGGGAUAACGUUCCGAAAGGGACGCUAAUACCGCAUGACAUCCUGCCUUUGAAGAGGCGGAGAUCAAAGCUGGGGAUCGCAAGACCUAGCACUCGAUGAGGGGCCCGCGUCUGAUUAGCUAGUUGGUGGGGUAACGGCUCACCAAGGCAACGAUCAGUAUCCGGCCUGAGAGGGCGGACGGACACACUGGGACUGAGACACGGCCCAGACUCCUACGGGAGGCAGCAGUGGGAAUUGUUCGCAAUGGGCGCAAGCCUGACGACGCAACGCCGCGUGGAGGAUGAAGAUCUUCGGGUCGUAAACUCCUUUCGAUCGAGACGAACAGCCUUCGGGUAAACAAUCCGGAGGUUUGACGGUACCGAGAGAAGAAGCCCCGGCUAACUCCGUGCCAGCAGCCGCGGUAAUACGGGGGGGGCAAGCGUUGUUCGGAAUUACUGGGCGUAAAGGGCUCGUAGGCGGCCAACUAAGUCAGACGUGAAAUCCCUCGGCUUAACCGGGGAACUGCGUCUGAUACUGGAUGGCUUGAGUUUGGGAGAGGGAUGCGGAAUUCCAGGUGUAGCGGUGAAAUGCGUAGAUAUCUGGAGGAACACCGGUGGCGAAGGCGGCAUCCUGGACCAACACUGACGCUGAGUGAGCGAAAGCCAGGGGAGCAAACGGGAUUAGAUACCCNNGUAGUCC